rnacentral:lncRNA from 1 species
CUUCAUCAUGUUGGGAUACACUACUAGCUCAUGAAGCCAAGUGGCACUUUCAACUAAAGUUGGUGAUCUGAUCCUAAUAUCAUUUUCAUUCAUUCAAAACAAUACUUAGUGAUUUAAAAUAUUAUUUUUCUAUUUUAUAUCUAUGUCUAUUUCUAAGGCAAGUAAUGAUAUUUCCACAAGGAAAAUUACUUUCCUGCCUUAGGAAAUUCUGAGUAAAUUCAUGGAAGCUCAGAAG